AUGGCAUUGGCGGGCCUGGAGCUGCGGUUCCCCAGGGCGCUCGACCCCCGCCCGAGCUGGACGCUCGGCGACGUCCUCACCGACGCACUCGACGCCACCCGCAGCUCGGUGCCGCCCAUGCCCCUCAAGCAGCCGCCUGAGUGGGCUAGCACUGGCAACAUGGGGGAGAAGGCCUUUGUGAUGCGGGUUGAGGAGGAAGACCACUCGGAAGAGGAAGACAAUACCAGUGAUGACGAUGCUGGGGCUCUUGUGACCACAGGGGCGAGGUUCUCAUGUAACGAUCUCGAAUCCGGAUUUGAAGAUUCUGGAGAUGAAAUAAAUUGCAGCAGUACACCAUAUCACCUGAUGGAGAAAAGGAGCCUAGAGAAGAGCAUUCUGCUUGAGCUGGAACUUGAGCAUCAUCUGAAAAUUCAAAAGGAAGCUAUCUUCAUUGGAGGUAUGCCAUCAAAAUGA
rnacentral:rRNA from 1 species